GUAGUCGAUGGGAAACAGGUUAAUAUUCCUGUACUUGGUGUUACUGCGAAGGGGGGACGGAGAAGGCUAUGUUGGCCGGGCGACGGUUGUCCCGGUUUAAGCGUGUAGGCUGGUUUUCCAGGCAAAUCCGGAAAACCAAGGCUGAGGCGUGAUGACGAGGCACUACGGUGCUGAAGUGACAAAUGCCCUGCUUCCAGGAAAAGCCUCUAAGCAUCAGGUAACAUCAAAUCGUACCCCAAACCGACACAGGUGGUCAGGUAGAGAAUACCAAGGCGCUUGAGAGAACUCGGGUGAAGGAACUAGGCAAAAUGGUGCCGUAACUUCGGGAGAAGGCACGCUGAUAUGUAGGUGAAGCGACUUGCUCGUGGAGCUGAAAUCAGUCGAAGAUACCAGCUGGCUGCAACUGUUUAUUAAAAACACAGCACUGUGCAAACACGAAAGUGGACGUAUACGGUGUGACGCCUGCCCGGUGCCGGAAGGUUAAUUGAUGGGGUUAGCGGUAACGCGAAGCUCUUGAUCGAAGCCCCGGUAAACGGCGGCCGUAACUAUAACGGUCCUAAGGUAGCGAAAUUCCUUGUCGGGUAAGUUCCGACCUGCACGAAUGGCGUAAUGAUGGCCAGGCUGUCUCCACCCGAGACUCAGUGAAAUUGAACUCGCUGUGAAGAUGCAGUGUACCCGCGGCAAGACGGAAAGACCCCGUGAACCUUUACUAUAGCUUGACACUGAACAUUGAGCCUUGAUGUGUAGGAUAGGUGGGAGGCUUUGAAGUGUGGACGCCAGUCUGCAUGGAGCCGACCUUGAAAUACCACCCUUUAAUGUUUGAUGUUCUAACGUUGGCCCGUAAUCCGGGUUGCGGACAGUGUCUGGUGGGUAGUUUGACUGGGGCGGUCUCCUCCUAAAGAGUAACGGAGGAGCACGAAGGUUGGCUAAUCCUGGUCGGACAUCAGGAGGUUAGUGCAAUGGCAUAAGCCAGCUUGACUGCGAGCGUGACGGCGCGAGCAGGUGCGAAAGCAGGUCAUAGUGAUCCGGUGGUUCUGAAUGGAAGGGCCAUCGCUCAACGGAUAAAAGGUACUCCGGGGAUAACAGGCUGAUACCGCCCAAGAGUUCAUAUCGACGGCGGUGUUUGGCACCUCGAUGUCGGCUCAUCACAUCCUGGGGCUGAAGUAGGUCCCAAGGGUAUGGCUGUUCGCCAUUUAAAGUGGUACGCGAGCUGGGUUUAGAACGUCGUGAGACAGUUCGGUCCCUAUCUGCCGUGGGCGCUGGAGAACUGAGGGGGGCUGCUCCUAGUACGAGAGGACCGGAGUGGACGCAUCACUGGUGUUCGGGUUGUCAUGCCAAUGGCACUGCCCGGUAGCUAAAUGCGGAAGAGAUAAGUGCUGAAAGCAUCUAAGCACGAAACUUGCCCCGAGAUGAGUUCUCCCUGAGACUUAGAGUCUCCUGAAGGAACGUUGA
rnacentral:rRNA from 1 species